rnacentral:tRNA from 1 species
GGGGUUGUGGCUCAUUGGUAGAGCACUCACAUAGCAAGUGUGAUGCCCUGGGUUCGAUUCUCAGCAUCACAU